GACGAACGCUGGCGGCGUGCCUAAUACAUGCAAGUAGAGCGCUGAAGAGAGGAGCUUGCUCUUCUUGGAUGAGUUGCGAACGGGUGAGUAACGCGUAGGUAACCUGCCUUGUAGCGGGGGAUAACUAUUGGAAACGGUAGCUAAUACCGCAUAACAUUGGAUAACACAUGUCUUUUAUUUGAAAGGGGCAAUUGCUGCACUACAAGAUUGACUUGCCUUGUCUUAGCUAGUAGGUGAGGUAAUGGCUCACCUAGGCGAAGAUACAUAGGCGACCUGAGAGGGUGAUCGGCCACACUGGGACUGAGACACGGCCCAGACUCCUACGGGAGGGAGCAGUAGGGAAUCUUCGGCAAUGGGGGCAACCCUGACCGAGCAACGCCGCGUGAGUGAAGAAGGUUUUCGGAUCGUAAAGACCUGUUGUAAGGCGAGAACGGGUGUUAGAGUGGAAAGUGCACACUGUGACGGUAGCUUAUCAGAAAGGGACGGCUAACUACGUG
rnacentral:rRNA from 1 species